CAAAGUAUAAAAAAAUUAUACACAUGCAUGCUUUCCUUUCGUCGCUUUUCACUCAUUAUGCUUGUAUUCUUCUUCUUCUUCUUCUUCUUAUUAUUAUUAUUAU
rnacentral:ribozyme from 13 species